GACGAACGCUGGCGGCGUGCUUAACACAUGCAAGUCGAACGGAAAGGCCCUGCUUUUGUGGGGUGCUCGAGUGGCGAACGGGUGAGUAACACGUGAGUAACCUGCCCUUGACUUUGGGAUAACUUCAGGAAACUUGGGCUAAUACCGGAUAGGAGCUCCUGCUGCAUGGUGGGGAUUGGAAAGUUUCGGCGGUUGGGGAUGGACUCGCGGCUUAUCAGCUUGUUUGUGGGGUAGUGGCUUACCAAGGCUUUGACGGGUAGCCGGCCUGAGAGGGUGACCGGCCACAUUGGGACUGAGAUACGGCCCAGACUCCUAAGGGAGGCAGGAGUGGGGAAUCUUGCACAAUGGGCGGAAGCCUGAUGCAGCCACGCCGCGUGCGGGAUGACGGCCUUCGGGUUGUAAACCGCUUUCGCCUGUGACGAAGCGUGAGUGACGGUAAUGGGUAAAGAAGCACCGGCUAACUACGUG
rnacentral:rRNA from 1 species